rnacentral:rRNA from 1 species
CUGACCGUGCAAAGGUAGCGUAAUCACUUGUCUUUUAAAUGGGGACUUGUAUGAAUGGUAUAACGAGGGCUUAACUGUCUCCUCCCUCUUGUCAAUGAAAUUGAUCUCCCCGUGCAGAAGCGGGGAUACUCUCAUAAGACGAGAAGACCCUAUGGAGCUUUAGAUACUAAGGUAGACCAUAUUCCAUAACCCCUUGUUAAAGGAGUAAAUCUAUGCUAAUCCUACCCCUAUAUCUUCGGUUGGGGCGACAAUGGGGAAAUAAAAAUCCCCCAUGCGGAACGGGAAAAUUUUAUCUAAGAAAUUAUUCUUACCAUAAAACUACUUCCCCAAAUUAAGAGUGACAACUCUAAAUUACAGUAUUUCUGACCAUAAAUGAUCCGGCAUUUGCCGAUUAACGGACCAAGUUACCCUAGGGAUAACAGCGCAAUCCCCUUUUAGAGCCCACAUCAACAAGGGGGUUUACGACCUCGAUGUUGGAUCAGGACAUCCUAUUGGUGCAGCCGCUAUUAAGGGUUCGUUGUUCAACGAUUAAAGUCCUACGUGAUCUGAGUUCAGACCGGAG